GAUGAACGCUAGCGGCAGGCUUAAUACAUGCAAGUCGAGGGGCAGCAGGUCCCGCAGCAAUGCGGGAUGCUGGCGACCGGCAAACGGGUGCGGAACACGUACAGAACCUUCCUUUAAGUGGGGAUUAGCCCGGAGAAACCCGGAUUAAUACCCCGUAACAUAAUGAAGUGGCAUCACUUUAUUAUUAUAGCAGCAAUGCGCUUGAAGAUGGCUGUGCGGCUGAUUAGGUAGUUGGCGGGGUAACGGCCCACCAAGCCUACGAUCAGUAACUGGUGUGAGAGCACGACCAGUCACACGGGCACUGAGACACGGGCCCGACUCCUACGGGAGGCAGCAGUAAGGAAUAUUGGGCAAUGGACGCAAGUCUGACCCAGCCAUGCCGCGUGGAGGAUGAAGGUCCUCUGGAUUGUAAACUUCUUUUAUCUGGGAAGAAAUCUAUUUUUUCUAAAGUAGUUGACGGUACCAGAUGAAUAAGCACCGGCUAACUCCGUGCCAGCCGCCGCUGUAA
rnacentral:rRNA from 1 species